CAUUCCCACACUGAGCUUACACUGGCUAGUCCUGAAAUUCUUCUCAGCACGGAAGCCCGGAACCUCGGUCGAGGUCCCUGAGGGAUUGGGGUAACGCUUCGGGCUUCAGGAGGCUAUAACGUGAAGCUGUGUCUCUGCUCGCUCACCGCGGUUUUCCCGACAACCCCAGGAGAAGAGUGCCCCCAGCACGCCUGGACCCCUGGGCCCCGACGGUCGCCUCUGCGGCCCUCGAGCGCCCCCUGCAGCCCGCACCCGCUCCCAUCCUAAAAGCAGCGGACAAUGCCUUGAGGACCUCCCUGGGCUCCACUCUCCACACCAGACAAAAGCUGCGGAGCAUUCAUAACAAGCCUCGGUUUCCUCAUCAGUCCAGCACCCUCGAACAUGCUCUGCCCCCCCAGCCUCAGCCAGGGACCGCCCAUGUUCUUCACAGACCCAGCUUCCCACCAAGGACCCUCUGCUGCCCCCGCUGGCUGCCACUAUCUUACCCCCUUCUCUUCACUCAGGCAAAGGAGACGACUGACGCUUGUCCACGGUGGUUUUAGAACUACAUUUCCCAUGAGGCCUCAAGACAGCGAGAGUUCCGGCGAGAUGGGGGGGGGGGGUGGGAAACUGCGCGCAAGCGCAACCUCGUCCUUUCCGAGCUUGUGCCGCGUGUUAUGGCUGCUUCGGUCUGUGGUGCACACUCACUGAAAAGCCUAGGGGUUUCGGUGUUGGUAAGCUGUGGAAAAGGGAAGGCAUUACAUUGGCACAUGUGGGGACACGCUGCAGGUUCGUCCCGGAAGUAAUGGCCGGAUCCCCAGAGUAAACGGUCCUGGUGUGGUUCACCACGGGAGAAGGUAUAGGUAGAUGGUGGGCAUCCCUCAUGACACUUCAUUCUGAAGUUCAGCUAGAAGAAUGCGUGUUGAACCCUGAGCACAUUUAGUCUUUUCAGAGUGGAGCUGUUGGCUCCUGGAGACGACCGUUGUGGCGCAUGGAGCCUCCAUGAUGACUCUGCAUGGUACGGGCUGAGCCCCGGUUUCUGGGCCUGAGAAGGAUGUUGUGGAAAACCACAGGACCCCAGAAUGAUACAAGCAAGCGAAAGAGCUUCCCACAUAGCUGGUGCAAGGUGCGGAGAUUAAAGGCAUGCAUCACCAUUCGUGGCCCUUCAUGAUUUUUAUGUUCCUGUUUUGUGUUCAAAAGAAGCUCGUAAGCCUAUGAUGGAUGCCAGAGAGAACCUGCUGCCGCUCUCCCAGAGAGAGAGCAGGACAAAGUCAACUGUCUCCAUUCACCUUGGGAGGCCUUUGGCAGCUGGUGAAGGCGCCCAGGCAGGAGGCACUGGGGAGGUGGUGCUCAGCCUGGAACACAGUUCCCAAAGUGGAUUUCCUGGGAAGUUGAUUGGCUUUGUGUUGUGAAGUACAAAUAAAGUUUAUAAACUUUCAGUA